GAUCCUGGCUUAGGAUGAACGCUAGCGACAGGCUUAACACAUGCAAGUCGAGGGGCAGCAUAAAAGUAGCAAUACUUGGUGGCGACCGGCGCACGGGUGAGUAACGCGUAUGCAACCUACCUAUCGAGAGGGGAAUAACCCGGCGAAAGUCGGACUAAUACCGCAUAAAACAGGGGCACCGCAUGGUGAUAUUUGUUAAAGAAAUUCGCUGAUAGAUGGGCAUGCGUUCCAUUAGGUAGUUGGUGAGGUAACGGCUCACCAAGCCGACGAUGGAUAGGGGAACUGAGAGGUUGGUCCCCCACACUGGUACUGAGACACGGACCAGACUCCUACGGGAGGCAGCAGUGAGGAAUAUUGGUCAAUGGGCGGGAGCCUGAACCAGCCAAGUCCGCGUGAAGGAAGAAGGAUCUAUGGUUCGUAAACUUCUUUUGCAGGGGAAUAAAGUGCAGGACGUGUCCUGUUUUGUAUGUACCCUGAGGAUAAGGAUCGGCUAACUCCGUGCCAGCCGCCGC
rnacentral:rRNA from 1 species